rnacentral:rRNA from 1 species
GACAGAGGAUGCAAGCGUUAUCCGGAAUGAUUGGGCGUAAAGCGUCUGUAGGUGGCUUUUUAAGUCCGCCGUCAAAUCCCAGGGCUCAACCCUGGACAGGCGGUGGAAACUACCAAGCUGGAGUACGGUAGGGGCAGAGGGAAUUUCCGGUGGAGCGGUGAAAUUCGUAGAUAUCGAGAGGAACACCGGUGGCGAAGGCGGCCAACUGGACGAAUACUGGACGCUGAGACUCGAAAGCGUGGGGAGCGAACAGG